CUGCUUUUCAAGACAGACCAGCAAACUGGUCAGUUACAAACUUUGCUGCAGGUUCCUGAGAAAAAUUGGAUGAGAUUUUUUUCUUGUCUUGCAUGUCCUUGGGAGCUUGAAGCUGUAACCAUGUGGCCAUGUUUUCUCUUUUCACAAUGGCAUCCUGUGUUCAGGGUUCUAUUCCUGCCUCAGGGGAUGAGUUUUUUUAUAUUCUUCUGUAAAACUUGAGAGCUGAUGGGACCGCUGGAAAAGAUCCUUCACAAACAUCACGCGGCCACCUGAACUGUUCAGUGUCACUGCAACGGAUAUCACCUUUCAUCAGGACUCAAGAGUUCUGAAUGGCCUUCAUCAUACUGAAGCUUUCUGACUGAGCUCCUCUCUACCCUGAACACAAGAGACCAUAAUAGUUAGGCAGAAAUAUCAUUGCCCCUAUUCAGCCUGAAGAAGUUACAGAAGAUGAAUCUUUGUCCCUCUACAACCUUAGGAUUAAGGGUUCUCUUAUAAAAGGGAAGGAGGAAAUGUCUAAGACAUAUGAACUAGAGCAACUUCAUCCUGAAUAGGAGCUGAGUAAAAUAAGGGCUGAAACCUACUGGGCUGUAUCCUCAGACAGUUAAGGCAUUCUAAGUCACAGGAUGAGAUAGGAGGUCAGCACAAGAUACAGGUCCUUAAAACCUUGCUGAUAAAACAGGUUGCAGAAAGAAGCCGGCUAAAACCCACCAAAACCAAUAUGGCCAUGGGAGUGACUGCUGGUCGUCCUCACUGCUACACUCCCACCAGCACCAUAAUAGUUUACAAAUGCCAUAGUAACAUCAGGAUAUAACCCCAUAUGGCCUAAAAAGGGGAGGCUUAAAUAAUGCACCCCUUGCUUAGCAUAUAAUCAAGAAAUAACCAUAAAAAUAGGCAACCAGCAGCCCUCAGGGCUGCUCUGUCUUUGGAGUAGCCAUUCUCUUAUUCCUUUCUUAAUAAACUUGCUUUCACUUUA